UAGCUAGUUGGUGAGGUAAAGGCUUACCAAGGCGACGAUCUGUAGCGGGUCUGAGAGGAUGAUCCGCCACACUGGAACUGAGACACGGUCCAGACUCCUACGGGAGGCAGCAGUGGGGAAUUUUGGACAAUGGGGGCAACCCUGAUCCAGCCAUGCCGCGUGAGUGAGGAAGGCCUUCGGGUUGUAAAGCUCUUUCGGCCGGGAAGAAAUCGCAUGGGCCAAUACCCUGGUGGAUGACGGUACCGGAAUAAGAAGCACCGGCUAACUACGUGCCAGCAGCCGCGGUAAUACGUAGGGUGCGAGCGUUAAUCGGAAUUACUGGGCGUAAAGCGUGCGCAGGCGGUUUUGUAAGACAGGCGUGAAAUCCCCGGGCUUAACCUGGGAACUGCGUUUGUGACUGCAAGGCUAGAGUACGGCAGAGGGGGGUGGAAUUCCACGUGUAGCAGUGAAAUGCGUAGAGAUGUGGAGGAACACCAAUGGCGAAGGCAGCCCCCUGGGUCGAUACUGACGCUCAUGCACGAAAGCGUGGGUAGCAAACAGGAUUAGAUACCCUGGUAGUCCACGCCCUAAACUAUGUCAACUAGGUGUUGGGUGGGUAAAACCAUUUAGUACCGUAGCUAACGCGUGAAGUUGACCGCCUGGGGAGUACGGCCGCAAGGCUAAAACUCAAAGGAAUUGACGGGGACCCGCACAAGCGGUGGAUGAUGUGGAUUAAUUCGAUGCAACGCGAAAAACCUUACCUACCCUUGACAUGCCAGGAACUUGCCAGAGAUGGCUUGGUGCCCGAAAGGGAGCCUGGACACAGGUGCUGCAUGGCUGUCGUCAGCUCGUGUCGUGAGAUGUUGGGUUAAGUCCCGCAACGAGCGCAACCCUUGUCGUUAAUUGCCAUCAUUUAGUUGGGCACUUUAACGAGACUGCCGGUGACAAACCGGAGGAAGGUGGGGAUGACGUCAAGUCCUCAUGGCCCUUAUGGGUAGGGCUUCACACGUCAUACAAUGGUCGGUACAAAGGGUUGCCAAGCCGCGAGGCGGAGCCAAUCCCAGAAAGCCGAUCGUAGUCCGGAUUGCAGGCUGCAACUCGCCUGCAUGAAGUCGGAAUCGCUAGUAAUCGUGGAUCAGCAUGUCACGGUGAAUACGUUCCCGGGUCUUGUACACACCGCCCGUCACACCAUGGGAGCGGGUUCCGCCAGAAGUAGGUAGCCUAACCGCAAGGGGGGCGCUUACCACGGCGGGGUUCGUGACUGGGGUGAAGUCGUAACAAGGUAGCCGUAGGGGAACCUGCGGCUG
rnacentral:rRNA from 1 species